GGAGAGGUACCCAAGUGGCUUAAGGGGACUGUUUGCUAAACAGUUAGAUCGUCUUUAUGGGCGGUGCGAGGGUUCGAAUCCCUCCCUCUCCGCCA
rnacentral:tRNA from 1 species